UACGAGUGCCCCAAGCGUUAUCCGGAAUCAUUGGGCGUAAAGGGUGUGUAGGUGGUCUAGUUAGUCUUCUGUUAAAUUCUUCGGCUUAACCGGGGUCCUGCAGAGGAAACGGCUAGACUAGAGUGUGCAAGGGGUGAAUGGAACUCAUGGAGUAGGGGUGAAAUCCGUUGAUAUCAUGGGGAACACCAAAAGCGAAGGCAAUUCACUGGUGCAGUUACUGACACUGAAACACGAAAGCGUGGGUAGCGAACGUGG
rnacentral:rRNA from 1 species